CCCCGGAGCCACCAUAGCCCUCUCGCGCGAGCUGUACUCGCCGGAGAUUUGGGGGGAGAUUUUCAAUUACGAGUUCUUCCGAUUUCACUUUGGAUGCUGGUGCGGCCUCUGUGAGCGGCGAGGACAAAGCUAGGCUGUUGCGUUGGGCACCCUUGGUUUAGCUUAGCAGUGGGAGUGAAGUUGGGGGAAAGGUUAGCUAGGGUUUGCAGCAGCGGGGAACUUGAGACGAACGGCGCCUAUGGUGAUUGGGACCAAGAAUCCUAGUUCUUUGGAUUCUAAAAUACGAAUCCUAGUUCUUUCCUUUCUCGCCCUUGGAGUGGUUCUAGGCAAUGGUGACUCCUCUAGCGAGCUUGGCGCCUCGAUUGGGGGAACGAAGUUCCUUUUGGUGUUGUCCAAUUUGGUGCUCCAUGAUUUGCCGGAAUGAGGACAAUGGACAAAUUUGUGCGAAUUUACAGCGGUGGGGAGCUGGUGAAGGGUCCAAAUGGGGUGGAAUUCGGGGACCUCUCCGAGCAGGGUAUAUGGUUCAAGGCAGCACCCACAUACAGUGAGCUGAUUGACGCCGUGUACAAGAAGCUUGGGCUGGAACCGGCGACACACAAUGUCCGCGCACAGGGGAGGACGAAUGUUGGCGGCGGUGCUCAUCGGCACUUCAUCAUGGUGCCUAUCAACGACGAUAUGUCCUGGAGUAACUAUGUCAAAGCAGUUUUCAAUGGCACCGACUGGAAUUGCCUGGAGGUUUAUGUUCAGGCAGAGAAGCAUCUAUCUCCAGAGCCGGUUUCCCCAGAGCCUGCAUUGCUGGACAGUGAACCACUGGAUGCGCAGCAUCAGAAUACCCCACCGCGAGAUCCAGAACAGGGUGCUUCUCUUUUUGCUCCUUCGAUGGUGACCGUCAAUGCACCAACCGUUCAUUCUCAACAUGCUCGACUACGAAGAAUAAGGAGCACCAGGGCCCGUGCUGGCAUUCGUGGGCGGUUUGCAGGUGAAGAGGUUCAGUCUGGUCAGAACCAGUGUGGAGCUUCAGGGACAGUUGAUACAACUAGCUCUCUUUUAAUUGGGCUGUAUGACGAGGUUCAUCGUGGCCGUGCUUUAGCAUCAGGCCAGCAUCUAAGUGAGCUCAAUCCUCGUAACCGUGAGCCUCUUCGGUUUGACAAGCGGUACGAACGUUACCUUAGGCCAGCUGGGUUGAUGGGGUUGGCGAAUAUUUGCAGGGCUGGACUGCCCUCCAUUGAUCGUGCACUCGUCUCUGCACUAGUUGAUCGGUGGAGACCUGAGACACACACUUUUCACAUGCCUUGUGGUGAGAUUACAAUCACACUACAGGAUGUUGCGAUGAUUCUUGGGCUACCUAUCUCUGGCCAUGCUGUCAUUGUAAACAAAACAGAGUCCUACAUUGAAUUGUACCAGCGUUACCUUGGGAAGGCACCUCCUUCAGAUAAGUCCCGUCCUGGGUUGAGGGUUGCAUGGGUCAGAGCUGAGUUUAAUAAGUGCCCUGAAGAUGCCGACGAGGAGACCAUAAAGCAUCAUGCAAGGGCAUACAUCCUUAGCCUGGUUGGUGGUCUAUUGUUUCCUGAUGCCUCUGGUGAUAGGUACACUGUCUAUCCCUUUCCGCUGAUAGCUGAUCUUGAGAACAUUGGUUCAUACAGUUGGGGUUCUGCCACUCUGGCAUAUCUCUACAGGGCAAUGUGUGAUGCUUGCAGGAGGCAAUCAGAUCAAAGUAAUCUGACUGGUUGCCUUCUGCUCCUUCAGUUCUGGUCAUGGGAGCGCUUCCCAAUCGGCAGGCCAGAUAUGCUAAAGCCGAAAUUCCCAAACGUCGAUGAGCUAGAGGAUGACAGGGAUAGACCCACGGUUGGUCUCAGAUGGGUUGUGGGGGCGUGCACGUAUCGGUCAGCUCCAGCACGUUGCUAUGAGCACUUUACAAAUGAGUUCGACCUAUUAACAGAUGACCAGGUUGUUUGGAGCCCAUAUAGGGAGGACCGCGUGAAGACACUACAUCUUGCACCUAUAUGUACCCAGGAUUCUCAUUUGUGGCUAACUCAAGCACCUCUAGUUUUUUUCUUCAUGGUGGAGGUUUACACACCGGAGAGAGUGAUGCGUCAAUUUGGUCUCCAUCAGGAAUGCCCGCCACCAUUUCGGGACACCAGCGUGGAACUCCAUUGGUGUUGUCGUGGAAAGGUCCGUAGUGAUUGGGCAGAUAAGCAUAAGUCUUUUGUGGAUAUGUGGGAAGUAAAGGAGCAGCAUGUUAUCAUGGAAGAACGACCAUACGAUCAUGCCAACUACAUGGAUUAUUUGCGGUGGUACAGACGGUCGACACGUAUCCGCCUCUGCACACCGAGAAUAAGUAAUGGCCACCAGGAUGGGGCAUCCGUGCGAACUGCAACAGCUGAUGAUGAAGAUUCUUUGCGUGCUUCAAAGCUUCGGUACACCCCCAGAGCUCAUCUGAUCCACUCAGUGACUGACAAACUCACUAUUCUGGCGAAGGAGGCAGCUUCACAAAAGGGGUGCUCCAGAGGCGAAUGUAGCGCUUUCAUUGAGCGAGUCACUAGAACGUGUGUAGAACUUGUUGGGGAACUUGGCGGGUCAUCACUUUGCGACAUUGCUGCUGCGGUUCCAGAUUCAACAACUAUUCCAGCUGAACAGGGGUCUGAGGGCCAGAGGGACACAGAGGAUGAGUUAAAUAACUCCAUGGUGCCUGAUCAGGAGAAUGAGUCGGGCCCUGUUCGUGAGAAGCGGACUCGAUUCCAGGUUGAUCAUACACAAGUGGACAGCAGGGUCCAUUCAAGGUCACCAAGCAAGAGGAGGAGGGGCGGACCAGCUCCAAGAUGAAACCUACUUGGUGAGUGGUUCAGAAACAGUUUUGCCACUCUUGUUGGACAGUCGUAACAUAGUUCCUUCUAUUUCAUCAUGUUUUCUUCAGUCUGCCUCUGCUGUAGUUGAACAAUUGCACAAAUGAUUCUUGGACCAUUAUUUCUCUGCUUACUGACAAGUUUAACAUUGGCUGCUAUAGAAGCGAUGGAGAUCGCAAAUCUGCAGUCAGAGGAGUAUGGUUCUCGUUUUCUAUUUUUUCUUGUAGGCAGUCGUAGCAUGGAUGAUGGAUCCCGUGUUUAUAUGUCCAUGGUCUACAAUGAACUCCGUUGGCACAGCCAUAUGGUGAACUAUUGCUCAUUCAUCCCAUUUGUGGGACUGAAACUUGAAGUGAACUCUCUACCCGACUGGUGGUUACUCCCAGGCUUUACUGUCCCUGAUGCGCCCGGGAGCGCAUGUUGCAGAGAUUGACAGAGCAAUCGUCUCAGACGACAUAUGAGGUUUCCUCGGCACACCUUCAAGGAGUUUCCUCCACAUCUGAUUCUCCAGCAAAUGUGAUGUAUGAUCAGCUUCGCUUCGACCAGGGAAAAACAGAUAGGUUGUAACCGUUUCCGAAUUCGGUCCGAUGUUCCCGCUUUUCUGGUUUAUGCAUCAGUGGCGGCGACGACUGCUUCAGGGGAUGAGGCUUUAAUGUUGGUCCAUGGAACCAUUUGGUGUACUGAAUUGGGCAUGUUGACUCAUGCAUCUCCUUGGCCAUAGUUGCAAUUUGCAAAACCAAUACUGAUCUGCAAGUAUCUUCCCCCCCAAACUGGCUGCUCCUGCUAGUAUCUUAGACUGAAAUUGUAUUGUGCUAAAUGAUGUGUAAUGUGCUACUGUUCUUGAAUUCACAUGUACAGGGAAAACAUGGUAGAAUUGAA